GACGCAGGGCGCGAGCGUUGUCCGGAUUUAUUGGGCGUAAAGAGCUCGUAGGCGGCUUGUCGCGUCGACUGUGAAAGCCCGGGGCUUAACCCCGGGUCUGCAUUCGAUACGGGCAGGCUGGAGUUCGGUAGGGGAGAUCGGAAUUCCUGGUGUAGCGGUGAAAUGCGCAGAUAUCAGGAGGAACACCGGUGGCGAAGGCGGAUCUCUGGGCCGAUACUGACGCUGAGGAGCGAAAGCGUGGGGAGCAAACAGG
rnacentral:rRNA from 1 species